GACGAACGCUGGUGGCGUGCUUAACACAUGCAAGUCGAGCGAUGAAGCUCCUUCGGGAGUGGAUUAGCGGCGGACGGGUGAGUAACACGUGGGUAACCUGCCUCAUAGAGGGGAAUAGCCUUCCGAAAGGAAGAUUAAUACCGCAUAAGAUUGUAGUGCCGCAUGGUACAGCAAUUAAAGGAGCAAUCCGCUAUGAGAUGGACCCGCGUCGCAUUAGCUAGUUGGUGAGGUAACGGCUCACCAAGGCGACGAUGCGUAGCCGACCUGAGAGGGUGAUCGGCCACAUUGGGACUGAGACACGGCCCAGACUCCUACGGGAGGCAGCAGUGGGGAAUAUUGCACAAUGGGGGAAACCCUGAUGCAACAACGCCGCGUGAGUGAUGACGGUCUUCGGAUUGUAAAACUCUGUCUUCAGGGACGAUAAUGACGGUACCUGAGGAGGAAGCCACGGCUAACUACGUGCCAGCAGCCGCCGUAA
rnacentral:rRNA from 1 species